rnacentral:lncRNA from 1 species
AAAGACAAGCUGACAUCAACGAGUAUUAUCAGUUUUUCUUCAAGAAACCUUGAGCCAUCUUCAAGUAAUCUCCAUAUCCAGUUCCUGUAUCUUGGCUGGAGUGCUCGUUAGCGGCGGCGGGGGUGGUGGAAUGGGAGGUUUCAUAUUGGUGAAGAUAGUUUUCAGCCUUGUCAACGUACUUGCCGAAGCUCUUCUCCUCCAGCUUCCCAUAGUGCGAGGCUCCGGCUAGAAGAUCCGCGGCAGCGCCGGCCGUUUUAGCCUUGUCGAUGUUGGUGGUACCGUGUUGAAGUGUGGCUUUCGCAGCCCCAGCAACCACCUUCGCGCUGGAGAGCAACUCAGACGAAGAUGGUUUCUUGUGAUGGUGA